UACAGAGGGGGCAAGCGUUGUUCGGAAUUACUGGGCGUAAAGGGCGCGUAGGCGGCCUUCUAAGUCGAACGUGAAAUCCCUGGGCUUAACCCAGGAACUGCGUCCGAGACUGGAAGGCUUGAAUCCGGGAGAGGGAUGCGGAAUUCCAGGUGUAGCGGUGAAAUGCGUAGAUAUCUGGAGGAACACCGGUGGCGAAGGCGGCAUCCUGGACCGGUAUUGACGCUGAGGCGCGAAAGCCAGGGGAGCAAACGGG
rnacentral:rRNA from 1 species